rnacentral:Y_RNA from 1 species
GGCUGGUCAGAAGGUAGUGAGUUAUCUCACGUGAUUGUUCACAGUCAGUUACAGAUUGAACUUGUUCUAUGACUUUCCCCCCUUCUCACUACUGCACUUGGCUAGUCUAAA